AACGUAGGAGACAAACGUUAUCCGGAGUUACUGGGCGUAAAGGGCGUGCAGGUGGUCUGUUAAGUCUGGCGUGAAAGCUCCUGGCUAAACCGGGAGAGGUCGUUGGAUACUGGCGGACUAGAGGACGGUAGAGGCGUGUGGAAUUCCGGGUGUAGUGGUGAAAUGCAUUGAGAUCGGAAAGAACACCAACGGCGAAAGCACUCUGCUGGGCCGACACUGACACUGAGAGACGAAAGCUAGGGGAGCAAAUGGG
rnacentral:rRNA from 1 species